UAUUAGAUGUGACAUGAGCUGUUCAAUCAGCUCUUUGUUUGGCGUGGCCGUCAGCAAACCAGCAAACCAAUGCAAUUGCCGCAUAUAUGUAGUGGGAUAUGAACUGCUCUUAGUUUCUCUGUGCUCAUUAUUAGUUCAAUAAAUUGGCAAAUGGCUGCUGAUGUAUGAUUGACUGGGUUUGUUCAUCUUGCUAGAGCUACUUGGAAAUAUUGACAUUCUCAAACCAAAUAUGAGGUGCCCUUUAUUCAGUCCAUGGGAGUAUAUUGCCGUGGAGAUGAAAUAACAUGCUCGUGUACUAAUUGACUAUACGCUAGCCUGGCUUGCCAUUGGAAGGUGGCGUAUGGACUAUGGACUCCUU